rnacentral:rRNA from 1 species
AUGGGACACGUAAUUAAUAAGCUAAACCAGCAUGUUGGUGUUACUAAAUCAGCCUUACCCAGUACUGCCAUCUCUUCUUCUUCCUCCUCUCUUCUUCUUCCUCCUCUCUUCCCCAUCGUUGGCCGCACACCAUUUACCCCCGCUCACUGCUCGCCCACCCGCGCCAUCUUCCUUGUACCAUAUAACUGGAAUUACCGAUGCAAGUCGAAGAAGGAUUGGUCGGUGCUGCCGGCUGGCGUCAAGUUCGAUCCCACGGAUCAGGAGCUGAUCGAGCACCUUGAGGACAAACGCAAUUCCAGGGCGUUCAAAAGCGGAACAUGGACGCAUCGCAAGAUACAGUCAGAGUGCGGCAUGCACGUGAUGUGGCACAAGACCGGCAAUACCUUGCCGGUGAUGGUCAACGGCCGGCAGACGGGCAGCAAAAAAGGUUAUGGUGCUACACACCAACAAGAACUUCGACCAGCAGAGGACCAACUGGGUGAUGCACCAGUACCACCUCGGGGACCUGGAGCAAGAGAAGGAGCGGGAGCUGGUCGAGCAAGUUUCAACUGGGUUGUAGACUGCCCAGGGCUGAUUUUGUUUUUAACAGGCCCAGCCCAUGACGACAACGGGGCACAAAGAUCCAGCAGAUAA